GGAAAGUUGCAAAGAACUUUGAAGAGAGAGUUCAAGAGAACGUGAAAUCGCUAAAGUGGAACCGGAGAGAGUUAACAUAACUUGGUAGCUAUAUUCUCUAAAGUCGCUUAACUGUGGCUCUGGGGGGUGGACGCUACCUGUUGUUGCACUGACUGCGUUGAUUGUGCUUUCCGAACAGUAUAGUGUUGCCCACUUUGUGGUGUCUUGCUUUCUGGGAGGUUUGUCAUGAUUAACGUAAAGCCAAUUCCCUUUGGAGUCAGUGUGAAAGUUAACCACCUUUCCGACCCGUCUUGAAACACGGACCGAGGAGUGUAAUUUAUACGCGAGUCAAGGGGUGGUGAAAACCCUAGGGGCGGAAUGAAAGUAAAGGCCGGUUAACCGGUUGACAUGGGAUCCGCUCUUCGGAGCGGCGCACCAUGGCCCUGUCUUGUCUGCUUGCAGAUGGGCAGCCGGUAGAGCGUAUAGUUUGCGACCCGAAA
rnacentral:rRNA from 1 species